rnacentral:pre_miRNA from 1 species
AGAGGAAUAGCUGGGUCAAAUGGUGGUUCCAUUCCCAGAUUUCCAAGGAAUCUCCAUACUGCUUUCCAAAUUGGCUGCACCAAUUUGCAGUGCCACCCGCAAU